rnacentral:rRNA from 1 species
AAUAUUGCGCAAUGGAGGAAACUCUGACGCAGCCACGCCGCCUGAGCGAUGAAGGUCUUCGGAUCGUAAAGCUCUGUCCUUGGGGAAGGAGGUCUUCGGACUUGACGGUACCCAUGGCGGAAGCCCCGGCUAACGACGCGCCAGCGGCCGCGGUAAUACGUAGGGGGCAAGCGUUGUCCGGAAUUAUUGGGCGUAAAGGGUGCGUAGGAGGCCUUUUAAGUCAGAUGUGAAAGCCCACGGCUCAACCGUGGGAUUGCAUUUGAAACUGGAGGGCUUGAGUAUCGGAGAGGGUAGUGGAAUUCCCAGUGUAGCGGUGAAAUGCGUAGAUAUUGGGAGGAACACCAGUGGCGAAGGCGACUACCUGGACGAUUACUGACGCUGAUGCACGAAAGCUAGGGGAGCAAACA